rnacentral:rRNA from 1 species
UUAGUAGUCAUACGCUCGUCUCAAGAUUAAGCCAUGCAUGUGUAAGCGUAAAUAUCAAAGUUUGGAACUGCGAAUGGCUCAUUAUAUCAGUUAUAGUUUAUUUGGUGAAGUGUACUACUUGGAUAACCGUAGUAAUUCUAGGGCUAAUACAUGAGAAAGUCCUCUGGUGAGGUGUGUUUAUUAGAAUGAAAACCAUAUGCUUCGGCAUGAUAGUGAGUAAUAGUAACCUAUCGUAUCGCAUGCUUAAUGUAGCGAUGAGUCUUUCAAGUUUCUGCCCUAUCAGCUUUCGAUGGUAGUAUAUGGGCCUACCAUGGCAGUAACGGGUAACGAAGAA